AGUGAACGCUGGCGGUAGGCCUAACACAUGCAAGUCGAACGGCAGCACAGUAAGAGCUUGCUCUUACGGGUGGCGAGUGGCGGACGGGUGAGGAAUACAUCGGAAUCUACUUUUUCGUGGGGGAUAACGUAGGGAAACUUACGCUAAUACCGCAUACGACCUACGGGUGAAAGCAGGGGAUCUUCAGACCUUGCGCGAUUGAAUGAGCCGAUGUCGGAUUAGCUAGUUGGCGGGAUAAAGGCCCACCAAGGCGACGAUCCGUAGCUGGUCUGAGAGGAUGAUCAGCCACACUGGAACUGAGACACGGUCCAGACUCCUACGGGAGGCAGCAGUGGGGAAUAUUGGACAAUGGGCGCAAGCCUGAUCCAGCCAUACCGCGUGGGUGAAGAAGGCCUUCGGGUUGUAAAGCCCUUUUGUUGGGAAAGAAAAGCAGCAGGUUAAUACCCCGCUGUUCUGACGGUACCCAAAGAAUAAGCACCGGCUAACUUCGUG
rnacentral:rRNA from 1 species